rnacentral:snoRNA from 1 species
GGGAUUUUCUUUCAUGUUUAAUUGAAAAUGUACUAAAACUUAAUGGACAGGUGCAAAAAAUAAAUCCUCUUUUGCAACCCAGAGCUCUUGUUCGGUACAAGUUUUGAGACAUAACAGAAGGAAUAUU